GAAGUAAUCCCUCCGUCCGGAAUUACUUAUCACAAAAAUGAUAUAAAAGGAUGUAUCUAGAACUAAAAUACAACUAGAUACAUCCAUUCCUACGACAAGUAUUUCCGGACGGAGGGAGUAGUAA
rfam:Hordeum vulgare subsp. vulgare, WGS project CAJW01000000 data, contig: morex_contig_1920973